rnacentral:rRNA from 1 species
UACGUAGGGUGCGAGCGUUGUCCGGAAUUAUUGGGCGUAAAGAGCUUGUAGGCGGUUUGUCGCGUCUGCUGUGAAAAUCCGGGGCUCAACCCCGGACUUGCAGUGGGUACGGGCAGACUAGAGUGUGGUAGGGGAGACUGGAAUUCCUGGUGUAGCGGUGAAAUGCGCAGAUAUCAGGAGGAACACCGAUGGCGAAGGCAGGUCUCUGGGCCAACUACUGACGC